rnacentral:rRNA from 1 species
CUACGGGUUGCAGCAGUGGGGAAUAUUGCACAAUGGGCGAAAGCCUGAUGCAGCAACGCCGCGUGAGGGACGACGGCCUUCGGGUUGUAAACCUCUUUUAGCAGGGAAGAAGCGAAAGUGACGGUACCUGCAGAAAAAGCACCGGCUAACUACGUGCCAGCAGCCGCGGUAAUACGUAGGGUGCAAGCGUUGUCCGGAAUUAUUGGGCGUAAAGAGCUCGUAGGCGGUUUGUCGCGUCUGCUGUGAAAAUCCGAGGCUCAACCUCGGACCUGCAGUGGGUACGGGCAAACUAGAGUGCGGUAGGGGAGAUUGGAAUUCCUGGUGUAGCGGUGGCAUGCGCAGAUAUCAGGAGGAACACCAAUGGCGAAGGCAGAUCUCUGGGCCGUAACUGACGCUGAGGAGCGAAAGCGUGGGGAGCGAACAGGAUUAGAUACCCGGGUAGUC